GGUCGGGCCGUUGGCCCUAAUAACAUGCAAGUACGAACGGAGGAAGUAUUACGUCUUCGAAUUGUAAAGGUACUUCGGUUAAGUUGAAGUACUUGGAGUAUCUUAGUGGCGGACGGGUGGAGUAACGCGUGAGCAACCUGCCUUUCUAGAGGGGGAGUAACGUUUGGUAAACGAACGCUAAUACCGCAUGACAUUAUCUUAUCGCAUGGUAGGAUAAUCAAAGGAGCAAUCCGCUGAAGAUGGGCUCGCGUCCGAUUAGGGUAGUUGGUGGGGUAACGGCCCACCAAGCCGACGAUCGGUAGCCGGACUGAGAGGUUGGACGGCCACAUUGGGACUGAGACACGGCCCAGACUCCUACGGGAGGCAGCAGUAAGGGAUAUUGGUCAAUGGGGGAAACCCUGAACCAGCAACGCCGCGUGAGGGAAGACAGUUUUCGGAUUGUAAACCUCUGUCCUCUGUGAAGAUGAUGACGGUAGCAGAGGAGGAAGCUCCGGCUAACUACGUG
rnacentral:rRNA from 1 species